rnacentral:lncRNA from 1 species
GAUAACUAUUCCAAUAUGCGGUACAACGCUUAUUUCAGAUACCAUGUAGUUUCCUUCUAGGACAAUAUCGACUUCAAUGAAACCAAAAAGAAUAAUCAAGUAUGUACCACUUAAAGCCAACCACGAUAAAUUUCCAACCCGCCAAGCUGAUACGAGCAGACUGGCAUUGAUUUGACGAAUUCCUGGAAUCUUUAUCGUUGAACUUAAAACACAACACGCAUCUUUGUUUACGAUCUGUUGAUAACACGUGAUAAGACAGACGAAAGCAGUACGUUUCGGGAAAUUUCUUAUUCCGCAUGGUCACAAAAACGAAAAGAACGGAGCCCAGUAUGUUUUUCUUAAAUUUCAAAUUUCCUACCAAUCAUUUUGCUCAUAUCUGUGACGCAAAUUCGAAUUAAUUGGUAAUUAUAAUAUGAAUUUUCCCUUAAAUUUUAUUUUUAAACAUAGUUUCCAUGCUAAUCUAUCAGUGAACUAAUAGAGUUAAAGAUGAAAUUCGUGACAUAUUUGCUAUGUACACGCCCCAUCACUUACGACAGUAUCGUACGAUAGUCGAAAUCGUCAGCAGGUCUCGGAGUUUGCAGUGAUUAACAAUCUUGAACUCGUGUUAAUCUAUCUACCCAUUGAUGGAAUUUUAGUGAUGUACUGAUUAGAAAAAUUCUAACAACAACCUUCAUUCCUUAAAUGGUGUAAUGAAUCAUUCAUCUGCUUAUGAAUACUCUAAAAAUGAUGUACUCGACCUUUUAGAAAAAUUCAAUUUAAUUGGCCACUAACCGGUUAUCCCCAUCACUUCGUGAAAUGGUUUGAGAUAGGUCUUGGGAUAAACAAUUCAUUUCUCUGUGAAUCCUAAUCUAAUAAUUAAAUCAUGUUUAUGGGCACGCAAUGAAUCACUUGUUAAGAUGCAUCUAUUGCAAAAAAAUAUAGUACAUGAUCGAAUACGAUUUGAUUCCAACAAUCGUUUAAAAUUUUUUAAUUAAUUUCAACAACUUGUUGCCUAACUGAAGAAAAUAAUGGAAUCAUAGCGGCAACAGGAAUUAUGAAGCAUAUAAUCGGUAAUCAAGUGUUGUUAAUGCAUUACAUAUUGGAAGUCGACUUAAAAAAUGCUUCAUAAUUUUUGGCUUAGCACGGUACCAAUAAUUAUAAUUAAUGUAAAGACAUCAAUAAACGUGAAGUUAUUGGGUAUGUGCACAAGUUUUCUCGGUUUUCCCCAAGUCUUGAAGGAGCUUGGUAGUAUCACCAUAUCAUAGCCUAUAUUAUUACGAAAUUUUAUGAUUUAAGGAUGAUUUUAGGAGAGAUUUCCAGCAAUACAGCAACAUAUUAUUACGAACUUUAUUUAAGGAUAUAUCGAUGUGAAGGAUAAUGUGAGACCUAGAUGUCCUAUAGACUUCGUUAUUUUUUCUUUCAAUUUUUGGCUUCAGAAAGUACUAAUUGAGCCCUCUCCUGUUCCGUGAAAAAAUGAACAGCCUCUUUUUGCAUGUAUGAUUCCGUUCCCCCCUCUCAAUGUAGAAAGAUGUUAUUUACUUCAUGCGUGGCCGUCCACAAUUCCAACUUUCCACCGAAUUUCGACUCGAUCAGUAUAGCCCCUUCUGAGUACAGCGAACAAAUAGGCAGACAAUAAAUCAGUUUAAUAAGGUAUUUUUUAAACAAAACUUUGAAAGGAAGAUAUCACUCAGUGCAUUAAUUAUAGAGCUAUCACGUAGCCGAGUACUAUCUAUACGAUAUUCUCCGAUCUCUCGUUAAGCCGGAUAGCCCCUUACGACAGAACAGUGUUGGCCGAUACCAAGACGCCUCCACUCCAGGCAAAUCAGUAACCGAUCAGAUUUUAGAACUUAUUUAGCAUAUGAGUCUUUAUUUCGGGAGCUACUUACCCCUUCAUCAGUGCUUAGCUACCGGUAGUUAAGAAGAAGUUACAACGACCUUACAAGCAUCGAAACCCAUAACUAAUGUAGAUCAGAUUUUCUCCUAGCACCAAUUUUGAAGUUACAUGUGAUGGCAUAGUCAGACUAAAACUUUACAAGACGAUUGGGAAUUAUGUAGGUACUUCGAUAGUGUUGCGCCUUGGUUUUUUUUG